UGAAUGCAUCAGGACACUGGCGUUGAAUAGACAGAUUUUCCAAAUGUUUUGAAAUCCGUUUGGAGGCUGAGAAAGGAAGAAAGGGGGAAAAGAUGCGAGAGCCUUGAAGAAAUGGAUUUGGCCUAUAAACAAGCAAUGCAUGAUGGGAAUGGAUUCUGCACCCCUCCUAGAACGCCAAGGGGACAGGAUCAGGCAGGUCUGGGAUGGAGUUGCCUACUGAGAGAAGGAGAACAGAAUCCUCUGGAAAAGAUAACAGUAAACCCAAAAACGAACAAGAGGGUGUUUGAGCCUGAUGCUACAUUGCUACUUGGCGUGGUGUAGCAGUUUGAUGUGAAGAGAUGGAGAGAGGA